rnacentral:rRNA from 1 species
AGGGCAUACGGCGGAUGCCUUGGCGAUAUCUGCCGAAGAAGGACGCGACAAGCUGCGAAAAGCUGCGGAGAGGCGCAAAUAGCCAUUGAACCGCAGAUAUCCGAAUGGAGAAAUCCGGCAGGGCUCAUCCCCUGUCAUCCAUGCCAUAGAGCAUGAGAAGGUAAGCCGGUGAACUGAAACAUCUAAGUAGCCGGAGGAGAAGAAAUCAAACGAGAUACCCCAAGUAGCGGCGAGCGAACGGGGCAGAAGCCCAAACCGGAGAAGGAAACUUCACCGGGGUUGAGGACCGUCAGAGCUUAAGAAGAAGUUAGCCGAAACGCCUGGGAAGGCGUGCCGAAGACAGUGAGAGCCUGGUAGGCGAAAACGGAGGCUUAGGAGACGGAAUCCAGAGUACUGCGGGACACGAGAAACCCCGUGGGAAGCAGGGGGGACCACCCUCCAAGGCAAAACACAGAUAUCGACCGAUAGCGCAUAGUACCAUGAGGGAAAGGUGAAAAGCACCCCGGGAGGGGAAUGAAAUAGAACCUGAAACCGUAUGUUUACAAGCAGUCGGAGACCGUAUAUAUACCAGGUCGACGGCGUGCCUAUUGAAGAAUGAACCAGCGAGUUACGAGGACCGGCAAGGUUAAGCAGGAAAUGCGGAGCCGAAGCGAAAGCGAGUCUUAAUAGGGCGAGAGUCGGAAUGCGUAGACCCGAAACCACAGUGAUCUACCCAUGUCCAGGCUGAAACACAGGUAAAAAUGUGCGGAGGGCCGAACCUAUAUCUGUUGAAAAAGGUUAGGAUGAGGUGUGGGUAGGGGUGAAAUUCCAAUCGAACGUGGAGAUAGCUGGUUCUCCCCGAAAUAGCUUUAGGGCUAGCCUCAGGUGGUGAUUACAGGCGGUAGAGCACUGAUCAGGAGAGGGACCUACCCGGUUACCAAACCCAGUCAAACUCCGAAUGGCUGUAAUCAAACCUGGGAGUCAGACUACGACUUAUAAGGGCCGUGGUCAAGAGGGAAACAGCCCAGAUCAUCAGCUAAGGUCCCAAAUGCCGUGCUAAGUGGCGAAGGAUGUGGCGUUUCAUAAACAACCAGGAUGUUGGCUCAGAAGCAGCCACCAUUCAAAGAGUGCGUAAUAGCUCACUGGUCGAGAGACGCUGCGCCGAAGAUGUCCGGGGCUCAAGCACGGAACCGAAGCUAUGGCAGAUUGCUUGCAAUCUGGGUAGGGGAGCGUUCUUAUCACGGAGAAGCGGUACCGUAAGGAGCCGUGGAGAGGUAAGAAGUGAGAAUGCUGGUAUGAGUAUCGAAAAGGCUGGUGAGAAUCCAGCCCACCGAAAGCCCGAGGGUUCCUGAGCAACGAUCGUCGUCUCAGGGUAAGUCGGGACCUAAGCCGAGGCAAAGACGCAUAGGCGAUGGAGAACAGGUUGAAAUUCCUGUACCGGAGCAGUCCGUCUGAGCGAUGGAGUGACGCAGCAGGGCACACGAGCAUGCGGCUGGAAGAGCAUGUCCAAGCCCGUAGCCCGUAUGGCAGGGAAAUCCGCCAUGCAAAAGGGUGAGAGGUGACGGGGAGUUAAAGGAAACUUUGACGAACUCGUGAAUCCCACACUGCCAAGAAAAGCUUCUAGCGAGGACUGAUCCGCCCGUACCGUAAACCGACACAGGUAGGCGGGGAGAGAAUCCUAAGGUGCGCGGGAAAACCCUCGUUAAGGAACUCGGCAAAUUGCAUCCGUAACUUCGGAAGAAGGAUGGCCCUGAGUAGGCGAAAAGUCUUGCACUUGGAACCGGAAAGGGCGGCAGAAAAGAGGCCCAAGCAACUGUUUACCAAAAACACAGGUGCCUGCGAAAGCGAAAGCUGACGUAUAGGUGCUGACGCCUGCCCGGUGCUGGAAGGUUAAGGAGAGAGGUUAGCGCAAGCGAAGCUUUGAACUGAAGCCCCAGUGAACGGCGGCCGUAACUAUAACGGUCCUAAGGUAGCGAAAUUCCUUGUCGGGUAAGUUCCGACCCGCAUGAAAGGCGUAAUGAUUUGGGCACUGUCUCAACGAGGGACCCGGUGAAAUUGAAAUACCUGUGAAGAUGCAGGUUACCCGCGACUGGACAGAAAGACCCCAUGGAGCUUUACUGCAGCUUGAGACGGAAUCUCGGAAGUAGACGCACAGGAUAGGUGGGAGGCUUUGAAACAUACACUUAGGUGGAUGUGGAGCCGCUGUUGGGAUACCACCCUUCUAGUUCUGGGAUUCUAACGCGAGGAGUAACGACCCUGCGGACAAUCUCAGGCAGGCGGUUUGACUGGGGCGGUCGCCUCCGAAAGAGUAACGGAGG